rnacentral:rRNA from 1 species
AUACGUAGGGAGCGAGCGUUUUCCGGAAUUACUGGGCGUAAAGAGCUCGGAGGUGGUUUGUCGCGUCGUCUGUGAACUCCCGGGGCUUACCGCCGGGCGUGCAGGCGAUACGGGCAUAACUUGGGUACUGUAGGGGAGACUGGAAUUCCUGGAGUAGCGGUGAAAUGCGAAGAUAUCAGGAGGAACACCGGUGGCGAAGGCGGGUCCCUGGGCAGUAACUGACGCUGAGGAGCGAAAGCAUGGGUAGCGAACAGGAUUAGAUACCCUGGUAGUCCAUGCCGUAAACGGUGGGCGCUAGGUGUAGGGGUCUUCCACGACUUCUGUGCCGUAGCUAACGCAUUAAGCGCCCCGCCUGGGGAGUACGGCCGCAAGGCUAAAACUCAAAGGAAUUGACGGGG